AGAGAGAAAGAGAAAGAGGAAGAAAUAGAGAGAGAGAGAGAGAGAGAGAGAGAGAAAGAAAGAGAAAGAGAGGGAGGAUACUAUCCGUCGAGGUUGUAUCAAAUUGCGUGGAGACCAAGCACCGAGAAUAAAAUAUUCCACGUGACGAGAAGGGCGUUCAUUGGCUUGUAUUCACGACCGCGAAGAAAUGCUUGAGAAACCGAAUGCAAACAUUUUUAUUUAUUUUUUUUUUUCUUUCAUCAUCAAAAGGAAAAAAAAAAUAAAAAAGAAGAAAAAUGAUGACCAUCUUGACUUUUUCAUUGUGUAAUAACCGAUCGGAAUGACUUUGCACGACUGGUAACGAAGGACGUCUGACGCCUCCCUCGCAUAUAUUCCUUGUGCACAUUCGUAUACAAAUACGUAUAUGUACAUAUAUCUCUAGCCUAGUAUAAAUAGCGCCGGCGCAUACGUUGAUUCGUGAGAGGAAAGCUUUACAAUACCUCUUCCACGCGCGCGCUCUUUAGGGUCAAGGAUGCCGUGAGUGUAGGUGUGCCGCGACGCAGUCAUCCGUACCAAUGCCGUUGCCGCGAAGACGACGAGGAAAAUGACAACGACGACGACAACGACGACGACGACGACGAAAACGACGACGACGACAAAAACGACGAUGACGAAAACGACGAAGACGAAGACGAAGACGAAGACGAAGACGAAGACGAAGACGAAGACGAUGACGAUGACGAUGACGGAUGAUGAUGAUGAUAAUAGACGCCGUGGAAUCAAGGAAAGGGUGGUAUAAAGGCAGUAGGAGGAUGAUGAGGUGGAGGAGAAGGAGGAGGAGAAGGAGGAAUGAAAAAUGGCGGAGGUAGUAUGCACCGAAUGGUACACGACUGAAGCCGGUAAAACAUAUGUAUAUACGAGCGUGUAUGUUUUUAUGUAUGUAUGUAUGUACGUAUAUGUGUGUGUGUGUGUCUGUAUGCGCAUGCACGCGCGCGCUAUACAAUGUUUUUUCGUUGUUAUAUCUCGAAAAGUAUUUUGAUUCUUCGCCGAUUACAAAUGAAAAUAUAUUGUUUUGCACUUUUCACUUUA